GUCAAUUUGCAGCUCUGUUGGGGUCAGUCUGGGCCAACUGUAAUAUCAGUCUAGCAUGAUGACAUACGUCAGAUUGCAUGCUCUUUAGAACCUGCUCCAGCCCUGGCCACUUCACCGGACUAUCCCACACCAAGCUACUGCGCAUGCUCACGCAGCCGCACCAGCCAACUUCUCCGCCCAGCUUCACUUAUCGCCAUUGCUCAUGCACCACAGUAAGUUCCGCUCCCAUGGGCUCCAACCCCACGCCUCACCUCGCGUCCACUGCUAAGACUUGCUGCCACACCGCGGCCAUUCCCUGGCUUCCUUCUUUGGUUUGUCUGCCUGCGGGAGCCUGCAGGGCAAGGGCUUGGAAUGUCAGCGUCUCAGGCAGAGGAAAUCUAAUUCCGCCCCUUCCACCAGGUGACAGUUGCCAUAGAUACGAAGUCCCUCCACACAGGUGAUGUCGCGAAAUCCCACUGGGUCGUUAGCGUGGUCAUCACCCCAGCCCUGCCUUUCCUGGGCAGCACUCUGGUGACUCAGAGCAGCAGUUCAGACAUGACCCCGCCCUCCCCAGUUGCCUUAGCAACGCCCCUCCCCCCCAUAGCAAGUCUUGUUUGACAUUCCCCACCCAUCAAGCCUUCUGCCCUCCGCCUUCCCUUUUCUGGUCCUAGAGCAUAGCCCAGGACCCAGGACCACCUCCGGGGCUACCCCUAGCUCUUGAGGCCACCUCCUCCGGCCACCCUAAGCCCAGUGUCACCCGUUUCUUCUCUUCUCCCUGUCUCAAGCUCCAGGCAAGAUGGCUGCCUGCAACCAGAAAGAGCUGCGGAGCACAGAGCAAAUCGAUAGGAACCUUUCCCGGGGCGUGGGAGCCUCGCAGGCGCAUUAAAGGACUGUAGUUUCCCGUACAAGGACCGAAGCUCCACCCCUUGAGUUCUAUUCAUUUUCCCCUUGACACCUUUUGUAUACAUAGGGAUAAUGUACUGGGAUCAGAAGGACGUGCGUAUGCCAACCACUAGCUAAAAAUCAGAAAUAAGACUUUCUCAUGAAAGUGGUUUAAGCUGCUUCUUAGCAGCACAUAUUUGGCCAGGCAAAUAAAAUAUAUGCAGAGACUAAUUCCUAAAACA